rnacentral:rRNA from 1 species
UCCGGUUGAUCCUGCCGGACCCGACUGCUAUCAGAGUGGGACUAAGCCAUGCGAGUCAACGUAGUAAUACGUGGCGAACGGCUCAGUAACACGUAGUCAACAUGCCCAGAGGACGUGGAUAACCUCGGGAAACUGAGGAUAAACCGCGAUAGGCCAUGAUUUCUGGAAUGGUUCCUGGCUGAAGUCUAUAUGGCCUCUGGAUUGGACUGCGGCCGAUCAGGCUGUUGGUGAGGUAAUGGCCCACCAAACCUGUAACCGGUACGGGCUCUGAGAGGAGGAGCCCGGAGAUGGGUACUGAGAAAAGGACCCAGGCCCUAUGGGGCGCAGCAGGCGCGAAAUCUCUGCAAUAGGCGAAAGCUUGACAGGGCUACUCUGAGUGAUUCCCGCUAAGGGGAUCUUUUGGCACCUCUAAAAAUGGUGCAGAAUAAGGGGUGGGCAAGUCUGGUGUCAGCCGCCGCGGUAAUACCAGCACCCCGAGUGGUCGGGACGAUUAUUGGGCCUAAAGCAUCCGUAGCCGGUACUGCAAGUCUUCCGUUAAAUCCACCUGCUCAACAGUUGGGCUGCGGGGGAUACUACAGCGCUAGGAGGCGGGAGAGGCAAGCGGUACUCAGUGGGUAGGGGUAAAAUCCACUGAUCCAUUGAAGACCACCAGUGGCGAAGGCGGCUUGCCAGAACGCGCUCGACGGUGAGGGAUGAAAGCUGGGGGAGCAAACCGGAUUAGAUACCCGGGUAGUCCCAGCUGUAAACGAUGCAGACUCGGUGAUGGGCUGGCCUUGUGCCAACCCAGUGCCGCAGGGAAGCCGUUAAGUCUGCCGCCUGGGGAGUACGGUCGCAAGACGGAAACUU